rnacentral:rRNA from 1 species
AAUCAACGCUGGCGGCGUGCCUAACACAUGCAAGUCGAACGCGAAAGGGGACUUCGGUUCCUGAGUAGAGUGGCGUACGGGUGAGUAACGCGUGGGUCAUCUGCCCUCGGGUGGGAAUAACUAAUCGAAAGGUUAGCUAAUACCGCAUAACACAGUGAUGUCAAAGCAGCAAUGUGCCUGAGGAGGAGCCUGCGUCUGAUUAGGUAGUUGGUGGGGUAACGCCUACCAAGCCUGCGAUCAGUAGCUGGUCUGAGAGGACGGCCAGCCACAAUGGCACUGAAACACGGGCCAUACUCCUACGGGAGGCAGCAGUGGGGAAUUUUGGACAAUGGGCNCAAGCCUGAUCCAGCCAUGCCGCGUGCGGGAAGAAGGCCU